UACGUAGGGUGCGAGCGUUAAUCGGAAUUACUGGGCGUAAAGCGUGCGUAGGCGGUGCGUCAAGUCUGAUGUGAAAGCCCCGGGCUCAACCUGGGAACUGCAUUGGAAACUAGCGAGCUUGAGUGUGGCAGAGGGGGGUGGAAUUCCACGUGUAGCAGUGAAAUGCGUAGAGAUGUGGAGGAACACCGAUGGCGAAGGCAGCUCCCUGGGCUAAAACUGACGCUCAGGCACGAAAGCGUGGGGAGCAAACAGG
rnacentral:rRNA from 1 species